rnacentral:rRNA from 1 species
UACGUAGGGGGCUAGCGUUGUCCGGAAUCAUUGGGCGUAAAGCGCGUGUAGGCGGUCCGGUAAGUCCGCUGUGAAAGUCGAGGGCUCAACCCUCGAAUGCCGGUGGAUACUGUCGGGCUGGAGUCCGGAAGAGGCGAGUGGAAUUCCUGGUGUAGCGGUGGAAUGCGCAGAUAUCAGGAGGAACACCUAUAGCGAAGGCAGCUUGCUGGGACGUUACUGACGCUAAGGCGCGAAAGCGUGGGGAGCGAACAGG